UUUUUUUUUUUUAAGGGCUGUGCCUGUGGCAUAUGGAGGUUCCCAGGCUAGGGGUUGAAUUGGAGCUGGCCUAUGCCCCAGCCACAGCAACACCAAAUCUGAUCUGUGUCCGCAACCUACACCACAGCUCAUGGCAACACCAGAUCCUUAACCCACUGAGCAGGGCCAGGGACUGAACCUGCGUCCUCAUGGAUACUAGUCAGAUUCAUUUCUGCUGAGCCACGAUGGGAACUCCCCGAUGUUUUAUUUUCUGUACCUUAUUCUUGUACUAUUAAAAGUUGGUUUAGGAGUUCCCACUGUGGCUCAGUGGGUUUAUAAUCUGGCUUGUCUCUGUGGAGGCACUGGUUUAAUCCCUGGCCCAGAGCAAUGGCUUAAGGAGCCGGUGUUACUGCAGCUGUGGCAUAGGUUGAGCUCUGGCUUGAAUUCGAUCCCAGGCCCAGGAACUUCCAUAUGCUGUGGAUGUAGCUAAAAAAGACAAAAACACAUUGACUUAUUUUAGUAUGUGGUAGGUUAAGGCCAUCCUCAUUCACUGCUGGUGGGACUGUACAAAGGUACAAUGACUUUAGAAGACUUUUAGUUUCUAAUAAAGUUAGUGCAUUUCCAUGGAACCCAGAAAUCCCACUUGUGGGUAGCUAGCCAAAAGAAACAAGUGUUCAUGGCUGUAGAGAGACUUAUGAGGGAUGUCCAUGAGUUCACUCCUAAUAGCCUCACAAUGGAAAAGACCCAAAUGUCCAUCAACACGAGGAUGUAUGAACACCUGGUAUUUUCACACCAUAGAGAACUCAGCCGUAAGGGAAACAAGCUGCAGGGAAACUCAACAACAUGGCUAAACCUCUCAGCCACUACCUGGAGUGCAAGAAGCCAGACGCGCAAGUUAUGUCCUGUGAGAUCCCACAAGUGGCAGAACUACCAGUGAUGACAGAUGGCAGACAAGGUGCCAGCCUGUGGCUGGAGGGGGUGGGGCAGUACCUGGGAGGCCAUGAGGAAAGUUUCAUUCUUCCUCAUUUUUUAAAGUCUUAUUCAAGUCUAGUUAUUUAUAAGGUUGGGAUCAUUCCUGUGAUCCCACAAAGGGACUCAGCUCUACCUGUAAAUACAUCCAUUCUUUCUCAGAUUCUUCUCCUGUGUGGCCCAUCACAGAACACUGAGUAGAGUUCCCUGUGCAAGACAGCAGGUUCCCGUUAGCCAGUCACUUCCUGUACCACACGGUACACCUGCCCAUCCCAAACCACCAGGCUGUUUGAAGAAUCAAAAUGUUCUUCCUUUUGAUCUGGGUGAUGGUUUAGGGUUAUUUACAAGUGUAAAGAGUCAUGAAGCUUUAGACAAUUAAGGCUUGCGUUUCACUACAUGAAAAUGAUUCCUCAAUAUAUAAAAUGCAGUGGACUGGGAGUUCAGGGUUUGUAGAUGCAAACUAUAGCAUUUGGAGUGGUUGUGCGAUGAGAUCCUGCUGUAUAGCACUGGAAACUCUAUCUAAUCACUUGUGAUGGACCAUGAUGGAGGAUAAUGUGAGAAAAAGAAUGUGUGUGUAUGUAUAACUGGGUCACUUUACUGUACAGCAGAAAUGGACAGAACAUUGUAAAUCAACUAUAAUAAAAUUAAAAAAAAUGCAGUGGGGAAAAAUGAAGAUUUGACCCGUAGAGUUUACCUCCCCAUCAGCAAAAAUCAACUCUAGACUAAUUUCUUCUCCCAGCUGAACUGAUUAAAGAGAAACUUCAACGAUGGUUGGCUUCUUUCUGAAACCCCUGGUUCUCCCCUCUUGGAGAAGAUUUAGGGCAGUGACGUCAUACCGCCCCGGGGGGUCCUCUUAGCCAUGUUGAAACAGCACCCUUUUGAAAGCCUUGAGUGUGACCUGGAGGGUAGUCAAUAUUUAGCCGUCAGGCGCUAAGCGAUGUAAAUACAUCAUCUCUCAUGAUCAGAAUAGCCCUGAACGUUGGCGUGGUGAGUUCCAUCUUCUCCUCCUCCUCUCCCUCCCCUCCCCCUCCUCCUCCUUCUCCUCCUUCUCCUCCCUCUUCUUCUAAGGAAAUCCUUGCCCUGGACUACUCAGCUCAUGGGAAAUGAUGCCACGUUCCAGUGCACGAGGCUUUACCCCCAAUACCAAGGAGAGAAUAUGUCGAAUCAGAGUCCGCCAAUAAGGACAAACAUACUCCAUAUAACUAGCUUAGCAGUGGUCAUCCAUCCUUUUCCAGAUGGUGGUAAAAUAUAUAAAAAAUAAAAUAGGCCCCUUCAGCUACUGUUAGCAUACCAUUCAGACCUUUAGUACAUUCAUACACUUGUGCAGCCCUCACCAGGGUAUCUAAAGCUUUUCCAUCACCAGAAAUGCUUAAUCCCACCCAUUAAGCAAUCACUGCCCACACGCCCCUUUCCCCAGCCCCUGACAGCCUCUCCCCUGCUUUCUGUCUCGGACAAGCCACAGUCACUCGUGACGCCACUUCUGAGCGACACCCCUUUCUUGGAAGUAGAGGUUCAUUUGAAUGCCCUUGGUCAAAGAUGCUAAACUUAGGGUUUUAUUGUUCCCCUCUGUCUCCAUAGACAUUGGGACAAAUAAUUGAAUGACUGCGUCACAGAACACAUUUCCAGGAGAGAAAACAACAUCUUUUCUCAUCUUAAAGGACGGUAUUUAUUUCCCAGUAGAGAGUGACUGGUCUGUCUGUUAAUAUGGUCUGUGUAUGUGUGUAUUAGCGCUAUACGUGGUAGGAUGAAUCAUUUCUGCUUUAGAGAACUUCCAUCAGAUUCUUUCUUAUAUAAAAACACAUGAGGAGAAGAACCACGUCUUGGCCAAAUUCUACCAUAAUUAAACUCCCACCAAGGCAUGGGUCCUAAGCUAUAAACAAGCAGUGUUCUCCAUUCCAUACCAAGCUUGCCGCCAGAAGACCUCAUUAUCCUCAGUUCUCACAGCAAGAGAGCCAGCCAUCACCCGCUUAUCUUCAAUGACUCCUGUCUUAACAUAGAGUGUGGCAUCUCACAGAGAAGCAAAGAUAAGAUUUUUUUUUUUUUUAAUGCUCACUUCUUAGAAGUCCAUAAUCCAUUCCCAGGAUUUAAAGGUGCGACAAUUUGUUUCUACCUGAGUUCUUCUGUCGGGUGCAUCCCUAAGGGCAGCAAUCUCAUGACAAAGGGGGAACCUUGUUGAAACAAAUGUCUCUUUCAGCUUCCAAGAUCUCAUUCUGUGGGCAGUUUGCACUGCAUAUGAAUGGUGCAUGUUUUGGAUUUCCUGUAUUCUUCUCCUAUCCGGCUAUGUUUUUAUUGCAGAGCUACGGUGGUAAGAUUUGGCAGUGCUGACUUGUCCCAGGGAGCAAGAAGAUUAAUCUCUAAAUUAAUGUCGGAUUGAUUUCUCCUUGUUCUCAGAAAUACUCGGUGUGAUUUCUCUUUCUCAUUGUUAUCACUGUCAUUUUCAUUGUUUUAUCAACAGCCUCUUAUCACAACUGUUCUUUUGUGUAAAGUAGACAGCUGUCAACAUUUUCUCAUCUGCUAGUUGGAAUAGGAGAAAACCUUCCUAACAUUCUCAAACUCUUUUCACCCUCUUGUACCCUUGGCUGAUUUAUAACUUUAUAUUAUGGCAACUGAAUGUGACUAGGUAUUGCCUCAAAUCUCAAUUAUGACUUUCAGUGUCAUUCUUUUUCCCCCACCCUCUGUCCUUCUUCCUAGUAAUGCCUCAGGGGGUUGCCUCAAAUGGGGAACCUAAUUUGCUGGGUUCAGUCUUUAAUCAAAGCGAUCAGAUGUGAAUUAAAUUCAAGUCUCUGGAGACAAGAGUUUUUUCAUCUUUUGCCAAAGAAGAGCCUUUUCUUUUAAGGAUAAAAAAGCAUACUAAGUAUUUCUUGGCCUUCUGAUAACCCUUUGUGGAAGGUAACCCUUUGUGGAAAUGAGUAAGGUGUGAGUACAGGAGUCUAUCAUCCCCAAAUGGGAAACUUUAAAUGACAGACAUGAGGAGUUCCUGUCGUGGCGCAAUGGUAAUGAAUCUCACUAGGAUCCAUGAGGAUGCGGGUUCGAUCCCUGGCCUUGCUCAGUGGGUGAAGGAUCCGGCGUUGCCAUGAGCUGUGGUGUAGGUUGCAAAUGUGGCUCGGAUCCUGCAUUGCUGUGGCUGUGGUGCAGGCCGGCAGCUACAGCUCCAAUUCAACCCAUAGCCUGGGAACUUCCAUGUGCCGCAGGUGCAGCCCUCAAAAGACAAAUAAAAUUACAGAUAUGAGCUAUAAUGGACAAUGUGUAUAUGUACUACAUGCUUUCACCUUGAGGAUCUUGUCAGGUCGGUACUCCUCAUCUGUAUGCUUUUACCAUACAGAUUGGUUUUUAGAAAUGCCUUGAAAUUUCCAUGAAAGCAGCGGUACCAUAAAGGGAGGUGUUUAGGGAAGAGAGAGUGUGUUUCCAUGGGCAUUUGCUGUUGCCUGGUAUGGCUUCCCUGUAAUGAAACACUGUUUGGAGGGGCAUGACAUCCAAGCACAAAUGUCUCUUAUUGGGAGAACCAGUUGGAAUCAACCUGAUUUGGAAGAAUAGCAUCACCCGUAAUGAAACCCAUUCUUGCUCAUUCAGCGUGGAAGGGUAAAGUGGAGCCAUUAGUGUAUCGUCAAACAGGGGGAAAAUGUGAAGUCAUGCACAUUUGCCCCUUUCCUGAAGAAAGGAGUUUUCCAGGGUCCCUUUCUUGGACAACAUCAGACAGAUAGGUGACAGAAAGGAGCCUGAGUGGAUGAAAUUCUCCUUGUGCUCUUUCUGUGGAAAAUGACUGGUGUUAAGGCGUUAGGUGCAGAGCGUGCCAGCCUCUGAGAGACCCCCACAGAGUGGCACCUAGUGUCAGCUGCACUGUGCUGGGCAAGCAGUAGUGAAGCUGUCUUGGAUGGGUCUCAGGAGAGGAGCAAAAUGAGGAACACUUCACAGAACAAGAACCUAUGCCUGCAGUCCCAUCCUUGUCCACCACAGGACAUCAUAGGAUACCCAUUGUCAGCUCCAUCCACCCAAGGGAAGGUGGGUGGAUGGGAAUUUUCCCACCUCUGCCCAGAGGUAGAUAUGGAAAAGAGAUGAGGACUGGUGCUGGUUAACACUUUUCCUCUUUCAUGUCUCACACCUCCUCUCCUCCUCUACAUUUUUAUACCUGGUAUAAAAUGCACCUGAGCAAUUUUAACCAUGCUUGUGUUUCAGAGGAAGACCGUAGAGCUAGGCUGUCUGAAAUCCUUCAAACUAGUCUACAUGCCACGGGGUAAGCAGGAUAUAAAGAAAUACUAGUGAAAUGAUGCAGCCAACAUUGAUGGACCGCUGAAUUCCUGGACUGGAAGCUCGUUAAAAGUGACGACUGUGUCUCAUUCACGGUGUACCCCUCAUACCCCUCGCAUCAGGGCACAAGGUUGCAGAGGUUCCUUAUGGGACGGUUGGUUGAGUGAAUAAGAUGUUCUUGUUAUGUAUCUAACACAAAUACAAACAAAUGAAUGCUCUUCUCAAGCAACUCCCAGUGUGGAGGGAAACCCAGCCUCAUCAUAGCUUAGUAUCAUAGCUGUACUCUAGAAGACUGUGGUUUAUAAAUGACAAACCACGGAAAUAGGAGGAGGAAGGCACUGAUUCUGCCUUUGCAGGGGAGCAAUGAGGCCAUCCUUGAAGCCAGGUUAGGGUUGAGCUUGAAAGAUGAGUACAAAUUCAUCAGUGAAAGAAGAGGGGAAGGGGGCAGCUUUCCAACAAGAGCAAAUGCAUGGACAUCUGAAUGCACGGCUGGCCUAGGGGACCAUGAGCUGUCUGUCACAGCUCAGGCCUCAGAUUUGCAAAGAGGAGUGGCUUGGUAUGGAAUAAAAUGGUUGGAUAUGAUCAGAAUUCAAUUUUUUUUUUUUUUAGAUUUUUUAAAUCCUUUUUAUUCCAUAGGAAACCAUUGUAUCACAUGCGGGGAGAGCCUGGAUUUAGGGAGCCCAUAGAGACGUAGCUGUCAUUCAAACGAGAUGACUAGUAUCUCCAGUAGGGUAUGGGAACUCUCUGGGGGACAGACAUUGUAUGGACAGACAUGUUGGACAUAGAAAGGACCACAGCAUGUAACCUGGGCUGGAUGGUGUGGAGCAGAGGGUGGGGUCCAAGUAGACAGAAAUUCCUCUCUGACUUCAGACUCUUUUGCCCUUCAUUUACCUCUAUAUCUCCACCACCCCCAGAAACCCAGGUAAAUUACAGUGAAAAGACCAGGGUUUUAGGACACCCACAGCCAAUGCUUUAUAUUCCUGCUGAGUGUUUGGGGAAAAUAUGGUUUACAGUUUUGCCAAACUCUUAGCCCAAUGCAAUAAUGUGCCAUGAACUCAUGGAAGAUGUUUCACGAGGUGGAGAAGGGAUCUUGCAUAAAGCAGAGCAAAAAAAGAGAGUUCCCAUGUUGAUUACAGUAUAAAUGAUAGAGCCCCUAGAGAAUUGUUGACAGCCAAGGCACCUUUUCCUCCAGAAGAUGGAUAUAUUGUUGCUGGAGCAUAGUGCAUGUCAUUUAUUUCAUUCUGAAAAGAAACAACACCUCAGGUGUGUUAAACAGUUGAGACGUGGUCCUUGCUAGGAAGGCUACAAGAUGUGCCAUAAGGUCCCAUUGGAAGUAGACAUGCAGCAGAAGAAAAGAGAGCAAAUAAAAAGCUCCAAAGUUUAUAGUAACGCAAGGGCCAUACUCCUAAGACAUAAGACAACUCUAAGAAAAACAAACAAACAAAAAACAAAAACAAGUUGGUAAAAUCUAGAAAACAGUUGCCUUGUGAUAAAAUCAUAAAGGUAUUUCUUAUGGGCUGGGGUGGGGGGGCAGCUGAAGUGUCCUAAGGAAACAUAUUGGACUUUUUGUAAAGAGAGAUAGAGACCCUGAUACAUAUGUCUCUGUAAUUGUAAAUGCCUAUUGUAGAAUGGUAACUGUUUCGAUUUAGUUUCCGGAAUUUUAAGUAACCUUAAAGAAGAGCAUGCCCUCUUUUGUGCUUAUUCACAUAAAACAUGUUUUUUAUAUUUCUUCUCCCUUUAAAUGCUUGGGGCCAUCGGUAUAACAUUCUGUAGUUUAAUUAGCACGGCGAAUUACCAUACUGUUUUGUUCUUUUGUCACGUUAAUGAUCAGUUUUGUUCUUACAGUCUUCAUAGUUUACCAGGAUGUGAGCCCCAAGGACGGUUUUCCAUGUAGUGAAAAAUUUAACUGCAUAGUAUUAAGAAUUUAGAAAUUGACUUUAAAAUUAUAAUAGCCUCUAUAAUUUGGCUACGGAAAAGCAUCCUCAUUAUUAGUUAUCUUAUUCUAAUGAAAAACAGAUAUGCCAAAAUAUUUUGGAGAAAUGAAAUUAUAAUAUCAGUUUUAUCUCGAGCAAUUGUGAUCACUGUGUUAAGUGCAGUAAAAUGUGGGUUUUAGCUUCUUAACGAAUGCACUUAAAGAGAAGUGGGAUGCUGUUUCAGAAGACACGGGACACUUUGAGCAGAAGUACUGAAUUUGAGAAAGUUUGAAAACGUCCUCCACUUGGAGGGGGAGAACCCAUACAACUCAAGAGCCACAUCAAUUGACUUAAAAUACUGCUUUAUCAGGUGCAAAUUUAAUUUGCAGAAAGGCAGCAGCAAAGUUAUUACUAACAAAAGCAUAAGAGAAAUUGCAUCUCACUCUUCUGAAGCAUUGCCUACAAAGCCAAGCCUUAGUGUGCACUGAACAAGGGUCUUCGGGGACCAGGGGGGUGACCCCUUUACAUGAUAAAUGAAUUUUGUGGGCAUGUUUUAGAGAAAGGAGAACGUUCAAGGCUUUCUUCAGUAUGUGUUUUCUUUCUGGCUCUGUCUCCCCAUCACCCAGUACCGAGUUCAGAAUAUAGAAUGCAACAAUGCUGUUGUUGAAAUGUGGGUGAAUACCUAAAACUGGAAGGUAUAGAAACCGAGUCCAAAUAUAUAUCUGAUAAAAGAGAAUUACAUUAUUCAUCGAAGAGGAGAUGUAGCAACAGGGAAGGUCUUUGGGGGCUGGAGGAUUUGCAGGGAACCCAAUAAAAAUGGGAGGGGGAGGGAGUGGGAGGGAUCGGGAGCUUGGGCUUAGCAGACACAACUUAGAAUAGAUUUACAAGGAGAUCCUGCUGAAUAGCAUUGAGAACCUUGUCUAGAUAAUCAUGUUGCAACAGAAGAAAGGGUGGGGGAAAAAUGUAAUUGUAAUGUAUACAUGUAAGGAUAACCUGACCCCCUUGCUGUACAGUGGGAAAAUUAAAAAAAAAAAAAUGAAAUCAACGGGUGUUUUGGAUAAUGCAUUUGUUGUAAGUUUAUAGCUUGGUGGAUUUUCACUGCUGUGAACUUAUCCCUGCCACCAGCACUCAGAUAAGCCAGCAGAAUAUUCCCAGCCACACAGACCCGUCCUCAUGCAAACUCCUGGCCACAAGCCGCCUCCCUCCCCACCACCAACUGCAAAAUUCCCUUGACGUUGUGAAUGCCUUCCGUCUGUUUUGAACUUUGUGUGCACAGAAUUGCACAGUAAAUCCUCCCUGUGCCCCUCUUCUUGGACGCGGUGCUACGUGUGUGAGAUGCUUCCAUGCACCUGCACGGAGCAGUCGUCCUGUGGUUCUUAUUUCUGCCUGGCAGUCUGCUGUUGUCAUUUUACUCUCAUGUAUGUAUCCAUUC
rnacentral:lncRNA from 1 species